AGAGUUUGAUCCUGGCUCAGAUUGAACGCUGGCGGCAUGCCUUCACAUGCAAGUCGAACGGUAACGCGGGGCAACCUGGCGACGAGUGGCGAACGGGUGAGUAAUACAUCGGAACGUGCCCAGUAGUGGGGGAUAGCCCGGCGAAAGCCGGAUUAAUACCGCAUACGACCUACGGGUGAAAGCGGGGGAUCGCAAGACCUCGCGCUAUUGGAGCGGCCGAUGUCAGAUUAGGUAGUUGGUGGGGUAAAGGCCUACCAAGCCGACGAUCUGUAGCUGGUCUGAGAGGACGACCAGCCACACUGGGUCUGAGACACGGCCCAGACUCCUACGGGAGGCAGCAGUGGGGAAUUUUGGACAAUGGGCGCAAGCCUGAUCCAGCCAUGCCGCGUGCGGGAAGAAGGCCUUCGGGUUGUAAACCGCUUUUGUCAGGGAAGAAACGCGCUGGGCUAAUACCUCGGCGUAAUGACGGUACCUGAAGAAUAAGCACCGGCUAACUACGUGCCAGCAGCCGCGGUAAUACGUAGGGUGCAAGCGUUAAUCGGAAUUACUGGGCGUAAAGCGUGCGCAGGCGGCUUUGCAAGACAGAUGUGAAAUCCCCGGGCUCAACCUGGGAACUGCAUUUGUGACUGCAUGGCUGGAGUGCGGCAGAGGGGGAUGGAAUUCCGCGUGUAGCAGUGAAAUGCGUAGAUAUGCGGAGGAACACCGAUGGCGAAGGCAAUCCCCUGGGCCUGCACUGACGCUCAUGCACGAAAGCGUGGGGAGCAAACAGGAUAGAUACCCUGUAGUCCACGCCCUAAACGAUGUCAACUGGUUGUUGGACGGCUUGCUGUUCAGUAACGAAGCUAACGCGUGAAGUUGACCGCCUGGGGAGUACGGCCGCAAGGUUGAAACUCAAAGGAAUUGACGGGGACCCGCACAAGCGGUGGAUGAUGUGGUUUAAUUCGAUGCAACGCGAAAAACCUUACCUACCCUUGACAUGCCUGGAAUCCUGCAGAGAUGUGGGAGUGCUCGAAAGAGAGCCAGGACACAGGUGCUGCAUGGCCGUCGUCAGCUCGUGUCGUGAGAUGUUGGGUUAAGUCCCGCAACGAGCGCAACCCUUAUCAUUAGUUGCUACGCAAGGGCACUCUAAUGAGACUGCCGGUGACAAACCGGAGGAAGGUGGGGAUGACGUCAGGUCAUCAUGGCCCUUAUGGGUAGGGCUACACACGUCAUACAAUGGCCGGUACAGAGGGCUGCCAACCCGCGAGGGGGAGCUAAUCUCAGAAAACCGGUCGUAGUCCGGAUCGCAGUCUGCAACUCGACUGCGUGAAGUCGGAAUCGCUAGUAAUCGCGGAUCAGCUUGCCGCGGUGAAUACGUUCC
rnacentral:rRNA from 1 species